rnacentral:rRNA from 1 species
UGGAGGGCAGGUCUGGUGCCAGCAGCCGCGGUAAUUCCAGCUCCAAUAGCGUAUAUUAAAGUUGUUGCAGUUAAAAAGCUCGUAGUUGAAUUUCGGGAUUUGUCGGUUGGUCGGGCUUCACUGUCCGUAUUGACUUGAUGGAUUCUUACCUUCUGAAUAACCAGCAUGCUAUUAAGUUAGUGCGUUGGGGAAGCAGAUCUAUUACCUUGAAAAAAUUAGAGUGCUUAAAGCGAGCUAGUGCUUGAAUAGAUUAGCAUGGAAUAAUAAAAUAGGACGGCAUGGUUCUAUUUUGUUGGUUUCUAGGAUCACCGUAAUGAUUAAUAGGGAUAGUUGGGGGCAUUAGUAUUCAAUUGUCAGAGGUGAAAUUCUUGGAUUUAUUGAAGACUAACUUCUGCGAAAGCAUUUGCCAAGGAUGUUUUCAUUAAUCAAGAACGAAAGUUAGGGGAUCGAAGACGAUCAGAUACCGUCGUAGUCUUAACCAUAAACUAUGCCGACUAGGAAUCGGACGAUGUUAAUUUUAUAAUGACUCGUUCGGCACCUUACGGGAAAC